AACGAACGCUGGCGGCAGGCCUAACACAUGCAAGUCGAACGCUGUAGCAAUACAGAGUGGCAGACGGGUGAGUAACGCGUGGGAACCUUCCCAAUGGUGCGGAAUAGCCCAGGGAAACUUGGGGUAAUACCGCAUAAGCCCUUAGGGGGAAAGAUUUGUCGCCAUUGGAUGGGCCAGCGUCGGAUUAGCUAGUUGGUGAGGUAAUGGCUCACCAAGGAAACGAUCCGUAGCUGGUUUGAGAGAAUGACCAGACACACUGGGACUGAGACACGGGCCAGACUCCUACGGGAGGCAGCAGUGGCGAAUCUUGGACAAUGCGCGAAAGCCUGAUCCAGCCAUGCCGCGUGAGUGACGAAGGACUUAGGGUUGUAAAGCUCUUUUGCCGGGGACGAUACUGACGGUACCCGGAGAAUAAGUCCCGGCUAACUUCGUGCCAGCCGCCGCAGUAA
rnacentral:rRNA from 1 species